rnacentral:rRNA from 1 species
UACGAGGGGUGCAAGCGUUGCUCGGAAUUAUUGGGCGUAAAGGGUAGGUAGGUGGUCUCAUUUGUCCGGGGUGAAAGCCUUGAGCUUAACUCAAGAAGUGCCCCGGAAACGGUGAGACUGGAGUCCUGGAGAGGGUCGUGGAAUUCCCGGUGUAGCGGUGAAAUGCGUAGAGAUCGGAAAGAACACCAACGGCGAAAGCACUCUGCUGGGCCGACACUGACACUGAGAGACGAAAGCUAGGGGAGCGAAUGGG